rfam:Dethiobacter alkaliphilus AHT 1 ctg17, whole genome shotgun sequence.
GGCACCUUUAACUUAGUCCAGAGAGGCUAAAAAGGAGGCUACAAUUAUGUAUGCAUAUAACAUGGAACCUGGCUAACCCAAGCGGCUUUUUUUUGCCGUGGGGUUAGCUUUUU